CCUACGGGUGGCAGCAGUGAGGAAUAUUGGUCAAUGGGCGCGAGCCUGAACCAGCCAAGUCGCGUGAAGGAUGACUGCCCUACGGGUUGUAAACUUCUUUUAUAAAGGAAUAAUGUGAGGCACGCGUGCCUUUUUGUAUGUACUUUAUGAAUAAGGAUCGGCCAAACCCGUGCCAGGAGGCGCGGGAAUUCGGAGGGGGCAAGCGUUUACCGGAUUUACUGGGGGUAAAGGGGGGGCAGACGGCAUCGGGAGCUAGGAGUGAAAGUCCGGGGCCCAACCCCGGGACUGCGCUUGGAACUGGGGAGCUGGAGUGGAGGAGGGGCAGGCGGAAUUCCUGGUGUAGCGGUGAAAUGCGUAGAUAUCAGGAAGAACACCGGUGGCGAAGGCGGCCUGCUGGACUGCGACUGACGUUGAGGCCCGAAAGCGUGGGGAGCAAACAGGAUUAGAUACCCGUGUAGUC
rnacentral:rRNA from 1 species